UACGGAGGGGACUAGCGUUGUUCGGAAUUACUGGGCGUAAAGCGCACGUAGGCGGAUUUGUAAGUCAGGGGUGAAAUCCCGGGGCUCAACCUCGGAACUGCCUUUGAUACUGCAAAUCUCGAGUCCGGAAGAGGUGAGUGGAAUUCCUAGUGUAGAGGUGAAAUUCGUAGAUAUUAGGAAGAACACCGGUGGCGAAGGCGGCUCUCUGGGCCGAUACUGACGCUGAGGAGCGAAAGCGUGGGGAGCGAACAGG
rnacentral:rRNA from 1 species